rnacentral:rRNA from 1 species
GACGAACGCUGGCGGCGUGCUUAACACAUGCAAGUCGAACGGCAAGGCCCUGCUUGCAGGGUACUCGAGUGGCGAACGGGUGAGUAACACGUGGGUGAUCUGCCCUGCACUUCGGGAUAAGCCUGGGAAACUGGGUCUAAUCCCGGAUAGGAGCCAUUUUUAGUGUGAUGGUUGGAAAGUUUUUUCGGUGUUGGAUGAGCUCGCGGACUAUCAGCUUGUUGGUGGGGUAAUGGCCUACCAAGGCGGCGACGGGUAGCCGGCCUGAGAGGGUGGACGGCGACAUUGGGACUGAGAUGCGGCCCAGACUCCUACGGGAGGAAGAAGUGGGGAAUAUUGCACAAUGGGCGCAAGCUUGAUGCAGCGGCGCCGCGUGGGGGAUGACGGCCUUCGGGUUGUAGACUACUUUCGCUAGGGACGAAGCUUUUUGUGACGGUACCUAGAUAAGAAGCACCGGCUAACUACGUG